rnacentral:rRNA from 1 species
UACGUAGGGUGCAAGCGUUGUCCGGAAUUAUUGGGCGUAAAGAGCUCGUAGGCGGUUUGUUGCGUCGGCUGUGAAAACCUGAGGCUCAACCUCAGGCCUGCAGUCGAUACGAGCAGACUAGAGUGUUGCAGGGGAGACUGGAAUUCCUGGUGUAGCGGUGAAAUGCGCAGAUAUCAGGAGGAACACCGGUGGCGAAGGCGGGUCUCUGGGCAUUACCUGACGCUGAGGAGCGAAAGCGUGGGGAGCGAACAGG